rnacentral:rRNA from 1 species
AGAGUUUGAUCCUGGCUCAGAACGUACGCUGGCGGCACGCCUAACACAUGCAAGUCGAACGAAGUAGCAAUACUUAGUGGCGAACGGGUGAGUAUAAUGUGGGUAUCUGCCUUUUGGUUUGGAAUAACACGAGGAAACUUGUGCUAAUACCGGAUAAGCCCUUACGGGGAAAGUUUUAACGCCGAAAGAUGAGCCCGCACUUGAUUAGCUAGUUGGUAGGGUAAUGGCCUACCAAGGCUUCGAUCAAUAGUUGAUCUGAGAGGAUGAUCAGCCACAUUGGGACUGAGACACGGCCUAAACUCCUACGGGAGGCAGCAGUGGGGAAUCUUGCACAAUGGGGGAAACCCUGAUGCAGCGAUGCCGCGUGAGUGAAGAAGGCCUUUGGGUUGUAAAGCUCUUUCGUCGAGGAAGAAAAUGACUGUACUC